GACGAACGCUGGCGGCGUGCUUAACACAUGCAAGUCGAACGGAAAGGCCCUGCUUUUGUGGGGUGCUCGAGUGGCGAACGGGUGAGUAACACGUGAGUAACCUGCCCUUUACUUUGGGAUAACUUCAGGAAACUGGUGCUAAUACCUGAUAGGAGCUCCUGCUGCAUGGUGGGGGUUGGAAAGUUUCGGCGGUUGGGGAUGGACUCGCGGGUUAUCAGCUUGUUGGUGGGGUAGUGGCUUACCAAGGCUUUGAAGGGUAGCCGGCCUGAGAGGGUGAACGGCCACAUUGGGACUGAGAUACGGCCCAGACUCCUACGGGAGGCAGCAGUGGGGAAUAUUGCACAAUGGGCGGAAGCCUGAUGCAGAAACGCCGCGUGCGGGAUGACGGCCUUCGGGUUGUAAACCGCUUUCGCCUGUGACGAAGCGUGAGUGACGGUAAUGGGUAAAGAAGCACCGGCUAACUACGUG
rnacentral:rRNA from 1 species